UAGUUAGCCAAUAAAAUGGCGGCCUUCUCAAAAAAAAAAAGCCCUCAAAAGAACAAAAACGGCCCGCCCGCCAAACACACUCUUUCUCGCCUCCUUCCCUUCGUCUUCCUCCCGACGGUUCUCUUUUCUUUCUUUCCCCGACGACCAGCGCUCCCUCCACCUCUCUCGUAUCCUCCACCGACUCCUCUCUUAGAGAUGCCUCCUCUUCGUCGCGCCACUGCUCCAUACAGCCGACAGCGUCCUCGUAUGGUACCGCCGCCGCCACCUCCGGCAGAUGCCGGUAUCGUGGUCGAUCGGCGUACGUGCACCGACGCUGUUCGACGGAAUGCCCCAGCCGGAAGGUACCUGAUUCAUCUCGCGACCCUCUGUACCUCGCCCUAUCGGCUUCUGUUGGUGCGUUCCAGGAGUAUGGGAGUCCGGGGAGGUAUUUCUUGACGAUCUGCCAAAAUUGUGGAUUGCCUUGCCUUCGGACGCGUCUUUCUUUGUGCGGCGUUCCCUGUUCUUCUGUUCCUUGACGAUUCGGUAAGCCCUGUGCGGUCACGAGCGCGAUCCGCGAACGCGAGUUGGUAAGGUGAGAUUUCGGGUUGGAGGUACAAAGCAAGGUAGUGAUAACCUGGCACUGACGGUGGAAUGCAACCUGUAAGCACUACUAUCAAUCAUUUUGAUUUGUUCUAGUAUUAAAGGACAGUAAAUUAAAAUUAGUGCCUUGCAUGAACGAACUCCUGUACUGUUGAUAGUCCAGUCACGAUGGCUACAUACCAUGUUUUGUGUGCCUUCUGAACUAAAUUUUGCUGCACGGAAAUGCGCGUGCACCUCUCCAAUGUUGUGUGAGGUGCCCUCUAACAGCUAUGUUUGACUUCAGCAGGAGUGGAUCAAAAUCGCGUGAGAUGUGUAUGCGUACUGUGCUUGACUGGAUGGUUUAGUUCUUGGACUGGUGUUUGACCAUUGCUCGGUAAGUGUUCUUGUGUUUUUAGGGGCAUGAUGGGUCAUACGGAGGGUUUUAUUUUGCUGUCCUAAGUAUUCUUGUGCUUCUUGUCUCAAUCUUCUGUACCCAUGCCGUUUUCAGAUACUGAACAUUAAUGUAAAAUAAAAAUAAAGAAGCUUCAUUGGUUAAUUCAGCUUCAAUUACUUUAAUGUCUUUUAUCUUUUGCUAAAAUGUUACGGUGCUAGUUGAAUUGAUGUUAGUGAUGUUUGUAUAUUGAUCUUCUUGUUCGCAUGGAUGGCCUUCUAUCCGUGUUCAUGUUGCAUGCUGAUGCUGAUACUGUUAUCUAGCGGGAUUAUAAGGAAAUAACAGAAGACAGUACUGAGCUAGGAGAGUUUCUUGAAUUAUUACAUUAUUUUGUCGUGGCAUUGCUAUGUGUGAAGAGAGAGGCCCCUCUUGGUUCUGAAAGGCUGCCAUGGGUUAGCGAUUCAUCUGUCUGUGCCUGUCAAAAGAUAGUAUCAUGAAAUACAAUGAUUGCUGGGCACUACUAAUGGAGAGGAUAUGCAAGCUCUUAGGAUUUUGUCAACAUGAGUGAAUUUGCGUUUUCCAGCAAUCUAUAUGCAUGUUCUGCAAAAUAUGCUAUCUGUAAAUGCAGCAGUUACAUGCGAUGGCCCUCAAGCUUGCACUAGACUCCAGUAGUUUUCUUGAAACUGUGGUUCUUGAUGGAAGUGUAAGUAAAGGUGCAUGCAGGAUUUGUGAAAGAUGCAAAAGGAAACCGCUGCUAAUGGUGCUCA